rfam:Spinacia oleracea cultivar SynViroflay scaffold11663.con0001.1, whole genome shotgun sequence.
AGCCUAUUAGCUCAACCGGUAGAGCUAUGUGUUUUUUGUACAUGAUGUGGGUUCGAAUCUUACAUAGGUUG